rnacentral:rRNA from 1 species
UACGUAGGGACCGAGCGUUGUCCGGAUUCAUUGGGCGUAAAGAGCUCGUAGGCGGUCUGUUGCGUCGGCUGUGAAAACCCGGGGCUCAACUCCGGGCCUGCAGCCGAUACGGGCAGACUAGAGUUCGGCAGGGGAGACUGGAAUUCCUGGUGUAGCGGUGAAAUGCGCAGAUAUCAGGAGGAACACCGGUGGCGAAGGCGGGUCUCUGGGCCGAUACUGACGCUGAGGAGCGAAAGCGUGGGGAGCGAACAGG